UUUCUCCUGAAAAGCCUGUUGACAGAUAAAACUGAGGUCCUCUCCUUUAUGUUAUUUGCUUCUUUUCUCUGGCUGGUUUUAGAAUCUUCUGUUUGUCCCUGACCUUUGAGAGUUUAAUUGCUCAGUGCCCUGAAGUAG